AAUGAACGUUGGCGGCGUGGAUUAGGCAUGCAAGUCGUACGCCCCGCAAGGGGCGUGGCGUAAGGGUGAGUAAGGCGACGAUAACCAACCCCGAGGCCGGGCAUAGCCACUUGAAAAGGUGGGUAAUUCCCGGCGGCCUGACGGGAGGGCAUCUUCUUGUCAGUAAAGGUGUGAUUCCGCCUCGGGACGGGUCGUCGUGGUAUUAGCUUGUUGGCGGGGUAACGGCCCACCAAGGCUACGAUGCCUACCGGGCGUGCGAGCGGGGCCCGGCACACUGGGACUGAGACACUGCCCAGAAACCUACGGGUGGCUGCAGUCGAGAAUCUUCGGCAAUGGGCGCAAGCCUGACCGAGCGACGCCGCGUGGAGGAUGAAGGCCUUCGGGUUGUAAACUCCUGUCGAGGGGGAACAAGGUGCCGUGCAGAGCGGUGCUUGAGUGAUCCCUGGAGGAAGCACGGGCUAAGUUCGUGCCAGCAGCCGCCGUAAUAC
rnacentral:rRNA from 1 species